rnacentral:rRNA from 1 species
UACGUAGGGUGCAAGCGUUGUCCGGAAUUAUUGGGCGUAAAGCGCACGUAGGCGGCUUGUUAAGUCGGGCGUGAAAUCCUGGAGCUCAACUCCAGAACUGCCUUCGAUACUGGCGAUCUCGAGUUCGGGAGAGGUGAGUGGAACUGCGAGUGUAGAGGUGAAAUUCGUAGAUAUUCGCAAGAACACCAGUGGCGAAGGCGGCUCGCUGGCCCGAUACUGACGCUGAGGUGCGAAAGCGUGGGGAGCAAACAGG